rnacentral:ncRNA from 2 species
CAUAUCGUGCAAAAAAAAGGUGCGUAAUAUUUACAUUGCGUUAAAUGGGAAGUCUGGUGUGAAGCCAGCGCGUACCCGCCACUGUGAAGAGGAGCUGAUUGCAUUUGCCACUGUAUUCGGGAAGGCGCAAUCAAGUGAUGAAUCGAAGUCAGGAAACCAGCCUUUUUCUAAUGCUAAGC